GCGUGAGUGAUGAAGGCCUUAGGGUUGUAAAGCUCUUUUACCAGGGAUGAUAAUGACAGUGCCUGGAGAAUAAGCUCCGGCUAACUCCGUGCCAGCAGCCGCGGUAAUACGGAGGGAGCUAGCGUUGUUCGGAAUUACUGGGCGUAAAGCGCGCGUAGGCGGCUUUUUAAGUCAGGGGUGAAAUCCCGGAGCUCAACUCCGGAACUGCCCUUGAAACUGGGAAGCUAGAAUAUUGGAGAGGUAAGUGGAAUUCCGAGUGUAGAGGUGAAAUUCGU
rnacentral:rRNA from 1 species